rnacentral:rRNA from 1 species
UACAGAGGGUGCAAGCGUUAAUCGGAGUGACUGGGCGUAAAGGGUGCGUAGGUGGUUAAGUAGGUAACUUGUGAAAAGCUUGGGCUCAACCCAAGUCGUGCGAGUUAAACCGCAUAACUAGAGUGAAGUAGAGGAUAGUGGAAUUCCCGGAGUAGUAGUGAAAUGCGUAGAUAUCGGGAGGAACAUCAGUGGCGAAGGCGGCUAUCUGGACUUUAACUGACACUGAGGCACGAAAGCGUGGGUAGCAAACAGG